AUGACAUUUUACUGUAUAUUGCAAUAAGAGAGUAGGAUUGUGUAGUUGUGUAGGUGUAGACAAAAAAAAAAAAAUCAGGAAACAAUCUAGUCACACUUAUACACUCUUGGGUAUGGGGGGGAAGUGUCACAGGACUCCCAACUAGGCCAAAUGGAGCAGGUUAGUGUUCUCUGACUGUAUGGAUGAUGUUAUGCCAUGGAAAGAGACUUGCUCACCAAUAAAUCUUGUGAGUGUGUUGUCUGAAUUACAUCAGUCUACUUUAGUGCAGUGACUAUGAUAUGUAGGCAUGUUGGUGAUGUGUAGCAGUGGGAACGGUUAUAUA